GACGAACGCUGGCGGCGUGCUUAACACAUGCAAGUCGAACGGGAUCCAGCCAGUGGCAACACUGGGGAAGAUCUAGUGGCGAACGGGUGAGUAACACGUGAGGAACCUGCCCCAGACUCUGGGAUAACAGCCCGAAAGGGCUGCUAAUACCGGAUACCUUCGCUUGGUCGCAUGGCCGGGUGAAGAAAGUUUUUCGGUUGGGAGGGCCUCGCGGCCUAUCAGCUUGUUGGUGGGGUAACGGCCCACCAAGGCUCCGACGGGUAGCUGGUCUGAGAGGACGACCAGCCACACUGGGACUGAGACACGGCCCAGACUCCUGCGGGAGGCAGCAGUGGGGAAUCUUGCGCAAUGGGCGCAAGCCUGAUCCAGCCAUGCCGCGUGCGGGACGAAGGGCCUUCGGGUUGUAAACCGCUUUCUAGCCGGAAGAAAUACGCCGUUUUAAUACUAGACGGUGGAUGACGGUA
rnacentral:rRNA from 1 species